GAUGAAAACCUGUUUUCUUGUGAUUCCAGUCUGGUAAGCCUGUCUUGUUUUAAAUGCAUGGGAAGAGAAUGAGAACCAAGGCCGUCUUCAGAAGUUGUUCAUGAAAUGCCAGUAGCAACUGACUGUAAGAACUGCCACACAGUGAUUGGAUGAACACCUCACUGGACCUCCAGCUGGGAACCUACCGUGCCAUCUUCCCCUGAUGCUAUCGCCCAGCCUGCGGCCAUCCAUUUGGAUUUAAGGCACUAGAGUAUCACCCGUGUGUAUGUGGUCAUAUCACAGGUUGUAGGUUGCUGAAGGGCCAAAGUAACAAGGAACAUCAGCCAUUGCAAUUGCAGAAGGGCACUUGAAGGGAAAACAGAAUUUUCCUUCUGGGCUAUUGUUCCCACUAGAAUAUAAAAAUAUAUUACAGGCUGAGGCAUAAGAGGUGUGUGUGUGUGUGUGUGUGUGUGUGUGUGUGUGUUGUAGGUGUAUACACUCAUGCUCAGACGUAUAUAUGGAAAUGGAAAUCCAUAAUUUUCUGUAUAUUAUUUAGCCAAUAUUAUUUGAUGCAACUUUUUAAUUUUGCUGAACAGAAAGGAACUGCAACCCUCAGAGGCUCUGCUUCUUGGCCAUGUUUUGCCUGAGCAUGUGUGAAGCCUUUCCUCAACCUGUCGGCCUUUUCUUUUUUUUAGAUAACAGGAAUGGUCAAGCCCAAUUAGAUGAUGUAGCUUUUGCAGUGUACAUACAUUUCAGGGAUUGUGAACUUUGUGAAAGGUGACAACUGGAUGGAAUGAACGGAGAGUUACUGUCAAUUAAAUGAUGUGCACAAAGGUUCACACAUCCUAAUGAGUUGCUUCUCGCACCGUGUUUCCCAUGGCCCCAGGUUCUACAAGGCUAAGCAAUAUUUCAGAGAGGGGCAUGACCAGAAGCUUUUAAGCCUAAGUAGUGAGGUCUUUGUAACUCACAACUUAGAUCUACUUUAAUGUGUAAGCCAUAUUCUCUAUGCAUAUUUAGUAUGCAUUAUUGUAAUUUAAUAUGUAUUUGUGUGCAGACUAUAUAAAAUGCUUCUAAAUGUUCUGUGAAUUAGAUUCCAAGUGCUACUAUCAUCUAAAUCUUGUUAAAUAAUUGAAUUGUAUCAUAGCUAUUAUAAUGUGAUGGAUAUUUUAAAUAUCAGCAGUAAAGAUUGAUCUAUAAUAAUGAGUUGAGAAGAUUAAUAGGAAUGUGUAUCUUAGUAGCCUUUGUCCUUUAAAAUGGACAUUUUAUUUCUAUUUAUGGAGAAACUGUAACUACUGCUUUUGAUGUCUUCUUUUUUAAAAUGAGAUAUUUACUAUCUAGAAAAUAAUUACUUUUAAAGUAGAAUCUGAGAGUCUAAGAAGUCUAAUUACUAUUGUUCCUAAUUGAGCCAGUUGUCUUUCAGUAAAACUAGAAUCUUCGGAGGGAAGAAGAAAUUGAAGUUCUGCUCCUCUCAUGGCGUAGAAAACACAUCUAUUUUGUUUCUUUGAUCUCUAUGCUCGGUUAAUAUAAAUUAAGGAAUACACACAUUGAUUAAUAUAUAUUUGCUGGCCUAAUUGUCCAGGCUACGUGACUUAUAGAGCACUGUGACCAACUGGCAGGGGUAGUUGGGGAGGCACACUGCUUCAUAGCUGUCACACUGCCUGGACCAUGUAUGCUACUCCUCACUUCCCUUCUUUUCCCUCCUAUCCCCACGAUGCCCAAUGUGUCUCGUAUUUAGCCUUUGGCCAUCCAUACCCCUUCCUCCCUCUUUCUCCAUAGGACAGCUCCCACUGGGAGCUAAUAAGUAGGAGUCACACUGGAGGCCACAUAUGCCUCCAAAUGUACAGAUAUAGGUGUGAGAGGCCACACCAUGAGGCGGGACUGACUCUCUCCAUAGGCGGCUGCACCUGCUUUGCAUUUUUACCCACCAUACACUUGCAAGUUCAUUUGCCUUUCGUUUAACCAGAACUUUACUUUUUAACAUGACAACCUAUGAUUCCUGUGUUUUUACUAUGCUGUAACUCUCUGUAUUUCCUACUAUAUAUGAUUGCUAAUUAAAUCAUAUUUGAUGAAAAUUAUCCUG
rnacentral:lncRNA from 1 species